rnacentral:rRNA from 1 species
AGUGAACGCUGGCGGUAGGCCUAACACAUGCAAGUCGAACGGCAGCACAGUAAGAGCUUGCUCUUACGGGUGGCGAGUGGCGGACGGGUGAGGAAUACAUCGGAAUCUACUUUUUCGUGGGGGAUAACGUAGGGAAACUUACGCUAAUACCGCAUACGACCUACGGGUGAAAGCAGGGGAUCUUCGGACCUUUCGCGAUUGAAUGAGCCGAUGUCGGAUUAGCUAGUUGGCGGGGUAAAGGCCCACCAAGGCGACGAUCCGUAGCUGGUCUGAGAGGAUGAUCCGCCACAAUGGAACUGGGGAAAGGUCCCAAACCCUAAGGGAGGGAGCAGGGGGGAAUUUUGGGAAAUGGGGGGCAGCCUGAUCCAGCCAUACCGCGUGGGUGAAGAAGGCCUUCGGGUUGUAAAGCCCUUUUGUUGGGAAAGAAAAGCAGCAGGUUAAUACCCCGCUGUUCUGACGGUACCCAAAGAAUAAGCACCGGCUAACUUCGUG